UAUCUUCCAUGUGACUGGCGGAUUAGUGGAUUUACCACAGGGAGCAUGGAUUUAGUUUCGUCGACCGCCUGGGCAGCCUUC
rfam:Eubacterium sp. CAG:161 genomic scaffold, scf161